rnacentral:rRNA from 1 species
GAUGAACGCUGGCGGCGUGCCUAAUACAUGCAAGUCGAGCGGACAGACGAGGAGCUUGCUCCUCUGACGUUAGCGGCGGACGGGUGAGUAACACGUGGAUAACCUACCUAUAAGACUGGGAUAACUUCGGGAAACCGGAGCUAAUACCGGAUAAUAUAUUGAACCGCAUGGUUCAAUAGUGAAAGACGGUUUUGCUGUCACUUAUAGAUGGAUCCGCGCCGCAUUAGCUAGUUGGUAAGGUAACGGCUUACCAAGGCAACGAUGCGUAGCCGACCUGAGAGGGUGAUCGGCCACACUGGAACUGAGACACGGUCCAGACUCCUACGGGAGGCAGCAGUAGGGAAUCUUCCGCAAUGGGCGAAAGCCUGACGGAGCAACGCCGCGUGAGUGAUGAAGGUCUUCGGAUCGUAAAACUCUGUUAUUAGGGAAGAACAAAUGUGUAAGUAACUGUGCACGUCUUGACGGUACCUAAUCAGAAAGCCACGGCUAACUACGUG